rnacentral:misc_RNA from 1 species
GAUGAAGAACGUAGCGAAAUGCGAUAAGUAGUGUGAAUUGCAGAACUCAGUGAAUCAUCGAAUCUUUGAACGCACAUUGCGCCCUUUGGUAUUCCUUAGGGCAUGCCUGUUCGAGCGUCAUUUAAACCUUCAAGCUAAGCUUGGUGUUGGGUGACUGUCCGCUUCACGGCGGACUCGCCUCAAAAUUAUUGGCGGCCGGUACAUUGGCUUCGAGCGCAGCAGAAACGCGAACUCGGGCCCGUCGUAUUGGCUCCCAGAAGCUAUCUUCACAAUUUUGACCUCGGAUCAGGUAGGGAUACCCGCUGAACUUAAGCAUAUCAAUAAGCGGAGGA